UACAGAGGUCCCGAGCGUUGUUCGGAUUCACUGGGCGUAAAGGGUGCGUAGGUGGUGAGGUAAGUCGGAUGUGAAAUCUCCAAGCUCAACUUGGAAAUGGCAUUGGAAACUACCUCGCUGGAGGUUUGGAGGGGGGACUGGAAUUCUCGGUGUAGCAGUGAAAUGCGUAGAUAUGACAUAGAACACCCAUUGCGAAGGCAGCUCACUACGGGAUUAUUGACACUGAGGCACGAAAGCGUGGGGAUCAAACAGG
rnacentral:rRNA from 1 species